rnacentral:rRNA from 1 species
UACGUAGGGUGCAAGCGUUAAUCGGAAUUACUGGGCGUAAAGGGUGCGCAGGCGGUUCUGUAAGUCAGAUGUGAAAUCCCCGGGCUUAACCUGGGAAUUGCGUUUGAAACUGCAGAGCUAGAGUGUGGCAGAGGGGGGUGGAAUUCCAUGUGUAGCAGUGAAAUGCGUAGAGAUAUGGAGGAACAUCGAUGGCGAAGGCAGCCCCCUGGGUUAACACUGACGCUCAUACACGAAAGCGUGGGUAGCAAACAGG